ACAGUGAUGGAAAGAUGAAAAGAACUUUGAAAAGAGAGUGAAAAAGUACGUGAAAUUGUUGAAAGGGAAGGGCAUUUGAUCAGACAUGGCGUUUGCUUCGGCUUUCGCUGGGCCAGCAUCAGUUUUAGCGGUUGGAUAAAUCCUCGGGAAUGUGGCUCUGCUUCGGUAGAGUGUUAUAGCCCGUGGGAAUACAGCCAGCUGGGACUGAGGAUUGCGACUUUUCAAGGAUGCUGGCGUAAUGGUUAAAUGCCG
rnacentral:rRNA from 1 species